CCUACGGUCGGCCGCAGUCGAGAAUCAUUCACAAUGGGGGAAACCCUGAUGGUGCGACACCGCGUGGGGGAAUGAAGGUCUUCGGAUUGUAAACCCCUGUCAUGUGGGAGCAAAUUAAAAAGAUAGUACCACAAGAGGAAGAGACGGCUAACUCUGUGCCAGCAGCCGCGGUAAUACAGAGGUCUCAAGCGUUGUUCGGAAUCACUGGGCGUAAAGCGUGCGUAGGCUGUUUCGUAAGUCGUGUGUGAAAGGCGCGGGCUCAACCCGCGGACGGCACAUGAUACUGCGAGACUAGAGUAAUGGAGGGGGAACCGGAAUUCUCGGUGUAGCAGUGAAAUGCGUAGAUAUCGAGAGGAACACUCGUGGCGAAGGCGGGUUCCUGGACAUUAACUGACGCUGAGGCACGAAGGCCAGGGGAGCGAAAGGGAUUAGAUACCCUAGUAGUC
rnacentral:rRNA from 1 species